rnacentral:rRNA from 16 species
GGAUGCGAUCAUACCAGCACUAAAGCACCGGAUCCCAUCAAAACUCCGAAGUUAAGCGUGCUUGGGCGAGAGUAGUACUAGGAUGGUUGACCUCCUGGGAAGUCCUCGUGUUGCAUUCC